AAAUCUAGGAACUUGUUACCUUUCAACUACAUCAACAGUUACGGUACACAAUCGUAACGAAAACUAACCUGGUUAAAUGAUUUCUCAUGAAAGGCAUCGAUAAUCAUAAUGGCGACAGGGCCAGCAGUUUCACACGCCACACUUCGAUUGUCGAAAUUUUCUGAUGAAAUGGUGUCUUUUCCUUGUUGCAUUCGCCAAAGGGAUACUUUGAGUGUUGGAUUAGACUUAUCGGCAUGGAAAACCUGGUAGCUACCACGUUUGUGAGGGUACAUAGCUUCGGAGCAGUGACGAGUGUUUCGCUUUUAUUUCAAUCUUUGUUUUUAAAAUGGCGCCUUCUUCGUUUACAUCCGGAAUAACCGGAAGUGUGCGAAUCGGGUAUUUACGUAAAAAUAAAAAUACGUUUGAUUGUUCCUGAUCAAUUUCAGCAAAACUGAUGAAUAACUAAAAAAAAUCUCACGUAUAUACUUUACGAUUUUUAAUCAUUUGAAGUCAUAAAGGUUUUGAAUUCCUUGAUUCCGGUAUUUCCUCUAAUCGCUGAUUGGUCAAAUCGGCUCCGCUCUCCAUUUUCAAACAAGAUAGCGUCGGUUCAAGAAGGUGAAAGUUGAAAGGUUCUAUUAUUACUUUGUUCAACGAACCAUGUAUGCCCUUAUGGAGUGGAUAGAGGAAGAAAAGGUCAGCAUCAUAACCAUAUCACGCAUCAAAGAUCCAAGAAAGGAGUUUUGCCAGUAUAAAGUUGGGGAUUUGGUGAAAGCCAGCUGCCAUGGCUUUUCUGGCGUGCAUCCCGCCAAGAUCUUAGAUGAUGGAGCUGAUGCCUGGUAGUGGGAUCUACAUUUAUCCCAAAGAUAUACAAGCUUUAUAUAAGCCAAAAAAAAACAAACAAGUGAACUUUUCAGGAAGGGGAACCUAACUGGUGCAAAUGAAAAGACCAUUUUAAACACUAUUCCUGACGAUGCCGGGAUUCAGAGGCCAUUGUCAAGUUUUCGAUGAGGACCAAGAUUAGUUCCCAAGUCAGCCUCCAGAACAUGAAACAGACCUAGCUUUUAUACAUUCAGUAAUGUGAGAUAUAUAUAUAUAUAUAUAUAUAUAUAUAUAUGGGAUUCCCUUCAUAAGGGAUUGUCCAAUUUUUAAUGUGAUAAUAUGUACAAAGAGUUAGUGAUGAAUAUUUUAUUUAUAUUUUUGUGCCAAACUUUAUAAAUGAUUGAUUGUUUGAUGUUGGAAGAGAGAACCCAGAUACAAUGUACCUUGGAAGAGACCACCGACCUUCCGAAAGUAAACUGGGAAACUUUCUCACUUACCGGCGCGAGCGGGAUUCGAACCCGCGCCGACAGAGGUGAGAGGCCAUGUGAUUUGGAGCGCGAUGCUCUAACCACUCGGCCACCUUUAUAAAUGAAAUUAAUAUACCAAUAAUAGUCGCUGUUUAUAAUCGGUAAUGUCUUAUUAUCCCCAUCAUUUUUGUAACUUUUCCAUAACUUUUGUCGGGUAUAACUUUUUUGUAACUUUUCCAUAACUUUUGUCGGGUAUAACUUUUAUGUAACUUUCUCCAUAACUUUUGUUGGGUAUAACUUUUUUGUAACUUUUCCAUAACUUUUGUCGGGUGUAACUUUCUCCAUAACUUUUGUCGGGUAUAACUUUUUUGUAACUUUUCCAUAACUUUUGUCGGGUAUAACUUUUUUGUAACUUUUCCAUAACUUUUGUCAGGUAUAACUUUUUUGUAACUUUUCCACAAUUUUUGUUGGGUAUAACUUUUUUGUAACUUUUCCAUAACUUAAGUAUAACUUUUUGAUAACUUUUGUGAAGUAUAACUUUUUUGAAGUAUAACUUUUUGAUAACUUUUAUGCACUUGUUGUAUUCAUGUUGAAAUAAAAGAUGAUAA